rnacentral:rRNA from 1 species
UGACCUCGGAUCAGGUAGGGAUACCCGCUGAACUUAAGCAUAUCAAUAAGCGGAGGAAAAGAAACCAACCGGGAUUGCCUCAGUAACGGCGAGUGAAGCGGCAAGAGCUCAAAUUUGAAAUCUGGCCCCUCCGGGGUCCGAGUUGUAAUUUGCAGAGGAUGCUUCGGGUGCGGCCCCUGUCUAAGUGCCCUGGAACGGGCCGUCAGAGAGGGUGAGAAUCCCGUCUUGGGCAGGGUGCCCGUGCCCGUGUGAAGCUCCUUCGACGAGUCGAGUUGUUUGGGAAUGCAGCUCUAAAUGGGUGGUAAAUUUCAUCUAAAGCUAAAUACCGGCCGGAGACCGAUAGCGCACAAGUAGAGUGAUCGAAAGAUGAAAAGCACUUUGAAAAGAGAGUUAAACAGCACGUGAAAUUGUUGAAAGGGAAGCGCUUGCGACCAGACUCGGCCCCGGGGUUCAGCCAGCACUCGUGCUGGUGUACUUCCCCGGGGGCGGGCCAGCGUCGGUUUGGGCGGCCGGUCAAAGGCCCCAGGAAUGUGUCGCCCUCCGGGGCGUCUUAUAGCCUGGGGUGCAAUGCGGCCAGCCCGGACCGAGGAACGCGCUUCGGCACGGACGCUGGCGUAAUGGUCGCAAACGACC